GAGCGCCCGUGUGCCGCCUUUGCCAGGAGGGGGCGACAGAGGCUGCGAGCAGGUCGGCAGGCCCGCCCAGCACCCGCAGAUUUGCCUGUGGAGCUGCAUUUACAGAUGAGGAACGCGGAGGCCUGUGAGGGUGUGACUCGCUGAGCUCCCUCUUCUACUGAUUCAGAGCUGGAACCAGCGCCUGGGCUCUUUGCUCUUCACCAUUCAGCAUUUAUGUGUCCUUUUCUUGACUAAACCCUUCUGUUGCAGCUCAGGAGCAGCCAAACCGAAGAGACGCAUGGGCAACGGAUAGGAGGGAGAGGUAGAACGCCCAGCCACGCUCCCAGCACAUCUCUGUUCACCGACCCAGAAACUCUGCAAAUGUCCAGCUCCCCUCUGCUCCCUAAGAUGUAGAGGAGAGCUGUAAGGUCCCACUGUUUAGAUUACGCUAGUGACCAGCCCCCACCCUGUGUCACUCAUUAGCAUAAAUACCGAUGUGGGCCAGAGGGGCUAGUUAAGAAUGACAAGACACUCCUCCUAUCACUUAGGAAAUCCCAACGGUUUGUCUGGAACCUGGGACAAAAAACAGAUUCAGAUAUAUACUUUUUAUUACAGCACAUUUGGUUAUGUAUGCUCAGAUUCUUUCUCUGAAAGGACAUUACUUUCAUUGCUUCCAAGGAGGGGAACCAGGUGGCUGGGAUGUGACUCUUCGUUCAAAAUUCAGAAUGUCCAUGUAAAAACAGCAUUUGACUCACAGACACUUGAGAAGUGACUAGUGGUUACCAAGGGGGAGGGAAGUGGGGGGUAGAAGGGGAAGGGGACUGAUGAACCACUGUAAUGUACAUUUGAUUUUUUUUUAAGUCCCUAUAAAUAUAUUACCUACUUGCAGUCUUUGGCUUGGUUUUUAAUGUCCCCAGUCUCCAGGCUUUCAUUUUCCCACCAUGUUUCUUAGGAGCCACUCACAGCUCCCUGCCACCUGGCCUUUGUGGACUUCUCCAUCUUCUCCCCAACUCGCCCUGCCCUCUGGCCUUUGUACAAGCAGCAGUUCCUUCUACUAGCAGUUCACAUUGGAGCUCAAUUCUUGAGACUCAGUUCUAAACCCUUCUAGGAUUAACUCUUUCAAAUCCCACAACAGCCAUUUUACUAUGAUACCCACUGUACAGAUGAGACAAUGGAGAUUAAACAACAUGCUAAGGUCACACAGGAACCUGGGAUUUGAACUUAAGCUGUCUGGCUCUCCAGACUGAGCCUUAACCAUUACUCCAGACUGUCUUUCCCAGAACAUCCUUACUCACAACCCCCAGCCCCACUCCACCAUGGGCAAACCUGACAUAGUUCAAGGCCCAGAUUAAAUGUCACCUCCUCUGGAAAGCCUUCCCUGCUCCCUCAUUAAUAAACUUACUUUUUCUUUGGGGUGGGGAGGUAUUGAAUUCUAAAAAUUAAAUUAUAUCAAUUGCAGCCCAAGGCAAGGAGAAAAUCUUAUUCCUAAAGAGACCUGGUCCUGCAGGCACGUCUAGACUGAUUAUAAGGCUGUUUUCCAUUGAGCUUUUUUGUCCAAUAGGUUCCAGGUCCUCUUCUAAGGGCUGCAUAUACUUCAUCUCAUUCCAUCCCAACUGUGCUGUGUAGACCUCAUCAGCCAUAGGUGAUGUUAUAGAGGGGAAACUGAGGCUUAGAACAACUGACCACUGAUGGGAAAGGGAAGAGAUAUUACAGAGCCUGUGCACAGGGUCUCCACUGGUACCUACACCUGGCAGACCCCCUCUCCACAACUCCCUCCCUACCCUCACCCUGGGUCAAGGAGCCAGGUCAGGGCCUAAGCGCAGUUGCUAUCCUGUAGACACGGUUUAUUAGAAAGGGUCGGGGUCAGAGUGGGUACAAGGUACAGGUUGGGAGGAGGGUGCAGGGGCCAUGGGCAGCCAUGCCAUCCUGAAGCCAGUGAGACGUGGAGGCCAGCGGGGGGUGGCUGGGGGGAGCCGCAGCAGGGAGAGCUUUGGGUCAGCAGGCAAGCGGGCAGGUGCUCUUCACCCUAAGGUGUCAGAGCCUCGGGUGUGGCCAAGGCUUUGGGAAGACUGGGGGAGGAAGGUCAGAGAGACCCAGAGACCUGCAAGCACACAUGGCUAGGAGGUGGCAGAGCUGGGACUUGUGCCCAAGCCUGCUGGACCCCAGGCCCCGGGGCCCUCCUUCCCAUUCUGUUGGGCCCCACACCUGCCUCCCAAGCUCCUGUCCCCAACUCACUGUGUAAGGUUUA